UUCAAAAUCUCCUUUAAUCAUGGACUUUUUUCUAAAGUUUUUGCGUCUUAUGAGGUUUUCAGUCUACAAACACCCCCUGGGAGCACACUCUGACUUCUUUUCUCCUCCAUUUCUCCUCACGCAACUCCAGCCUUCCAGAGGCAGCUGCUGAGCAGAAGGACAAGGUUUUCUCUAUUUCUUGAGGAAGUUUUUGUCUCUGACUUGAGAAACUGUUAAAAAGAUCUGGUUUUUGGAGGGGGGAGGCUAAGCACUGCCUUCUCCCAUGGAUCCAUAUUUGGCACUUUGUUUUCCUUCUCCCCCUCAUGCCUUUCCUUACUCUAUCUCCCCUGUACCUUUUUCUUGUUCCAUUUGGAAGCAGGAGCCUACCCAUGCUCACGAGAAGCCGUGCUGUCAGGCAUCUGAUCUCCCCACUUAACAGGGUUUGCAUGGUUACCUCUCCGGCCCUUUGGAAAUCUUGCCCAGUGUCCUCUGGGUUAGUGCUUAAUAACCCACUAAUCUGUCAAAAAAGGUGGCAACAACAGCCUGACUUGAAAGAAAGAUGUUUUCCAAGCUGUAUGAAAAUGCCUGUGGAUCAGCCAAGCCUAAAUUAAGACCCACGUUUUGGGUCUGUCUUGUAACAAGACCUCAACUCUGAGCCUCUUGAUGAUGACUUGCAGCAACUGUCUGCUCUGAGCAAUUCAAAAUUGACUAAAGUAUAAACACAUGAAAUGCUAAAUCAGAACCCCCAUAAACCAUCACUCUGAACUCUUUGAAUACAUAUUUUUCCCUUUCCAGGUGCAUUUUUUUGCUUAUGGAAAGCCCUACCUUUUGGACAGUAAAGCGACACUGUUCACAGGAAAUAUUUGAGUUGAAAACCCAAUUUCUCAGCAAAACAAUUCAAGGACAUAAAUAUAUUCAGAAGACUUUUCUUUGGAGUCCUCCUACCUCUAGCAUAAGUCACUGCAGCCAAAUAGUCAGAGAACCGUAGCCAAGUAACACAACCCACUGCUGCUGAGCAGGGACCCAACACAGUAAAGUCCUGCACUUUCGUUACUUAAAACACACCUCACAGGUCCUCUCAGCUGGGAAGCUGCCUACAACUCAAUUUGUCGUCCUGUGAAAAUGAACUUUUGUCUGUUUUGCCCUUUCCCCAGGCAGUUCAAGGAAGGCAACCCGUGAGACUAAAAUUAGCUCUGGCUUCUCUCUGCACUGGGUUCUGAAAGCAUCUCCUGAAGAGCACAUUGCCUGCCGAGACAGCAGCAGGUGAUUCAGAGAAGGGCAAUUUAUCAUCAUGCCUAUUCUUGGUAACAGAAGGGAUCAAUUUUCUUCAACAUUCCUGUAAUGUAGAACUUGCAAAUUGAAGGUGCCAGGUUGUGCCCUGCUGGAAGGGAAGAAUCUACAGGACUCUGGAGUGACAAGUCUGCUGGACUAUGGACUACAAAACUCUUUUUUUUAAAGAUUCCAGUGCAUUUUUAGUGAUUUUGGUUGAAGAUUAUUUUCUCUGUAUGUAAAAUCUGAGCUUCUCUUUCCAUAGAGCAAGAUUUUGAGCUGAAAUGGAGCACAUCACCAGCUAAGGCAUUAAAGCAAUGACAUCUAUUGCCAGCAAACCUCAGAUAUCAUGUGCUGGCAACACAAUGAAAGCAUUUCACGUGGGCUCUUUGCCAACAAAAUAUGUCCAAAUCAAUCAUGAUAUCUAAUGUGUUACCGGCCACCAUCCUGGAAUCCUCUUGCACACAGCAGUGCCAAAGACUGAUGGAUCAAAUCCUAUCUCGCCAAAUCCAGCCACUGGAGCUUCAAGGAGGACAUGACAGAAUGGCAGCAGUCCUUCCUCCAGCAAACAAAAUAAAUAGUCAGAUCUAAUAGACACCAUCGGUAAUUAGAUUUUGCACACUAAGAUAUACUGUAUGUGUGUAUCAGGCCAAAGCAGCACAGUUUCCACUUCAAAACACUGAAAAUCAGAUUUUUCUUAACUGAAAGCUGUGUUCAAAGUAUCCAUGUGCGAAUUUUUACUUUACUAAAGCCUUUCGAACUGUGGCAUAUGAAAUGAUUUAGAAGCCAAAUCUCACAGAGCCAUUCAGGCUAUAUUCUCUGUGCCAGUAACUCUUUAGUCUUUCAAGGCUGUGAAUUCCCAGCUUGUGAAGUUAAUUCCAGUGAGUUCUCAUUCUGAAGUUUCUCUUAGCCCCGAACUGCCAGUUAACAAGCUCACAGCCAGGGUUUGUAAGAGGAUGAGACCUGCUGCAGCUGGAGCUUUCAACAAGACUUUGCAGUCAUGCAACUGCGAAAUUUCAUAGAGCUGCUGCAAUAGGCACAGUGUAACUCACUUGGCAAUAUAUGAUCUUCAGUUUCCAUAAUUUAAUUUUGAAAACAAGACCCAAAGUGCAUAUACCUAGCUAGUCUCUCUUCUGGAACAUCGUAAUAUGCUGACGUGUCAGCAAGUCUAUCAGUGGAGAGAGGUUAAUGCCCCAGCAGAAAAGAUGCUAAUACCAAAAUAACAAUGAUCCGCAGAACUCUGAAGAGCAUCACAGAGCAGGUUGGAAAGAUGUCAUGCAAGGUCAGCCUGGACAUUGAAGGAAACUGCAAUGCCAUUCACAAAGAGCUUCAGACCAUCCUGAGGACAGGCCAUUGAGGUUCUCUGAAACACAGCGGAGAAAUGUCACUGAGAUUCUUCAGAACAUAAAGCAGUGAACAAUACUCAAUUUGCAAUGCCUGAAGGCAAUAUCUUCUGUGGUCUGAUGGAUACAUCACUACCCAUAAGUCAGAAGAAGGUGGUUUUAUCACAACUUUGCCAGGAGACUACAUCAGCUCGGGGUCAUGCCACAUCUAUAC